rnacentral:rRNA from 1 species
GGGUUGUGAGGUUAAGCGACUAAGCGUACACGGUGGAUGCCCUGGCAGUCAGAGGCGAUGAAGGACGUGCUAAUCUGCGAUAAGCGUCGGUAAGGUGAUAUGAACCGUUAUAACCGGCGAUUUCCGAAUGGGGAAACCCAGUGUGUUUCGACACACUAUCAUUAACUGAAUCCAUAGGUUAAUGAGGCGAACCGGGGGAACUGAAACAUCUAAGUACCCCGAGGAAAAGAAAUCAACCGAGAUUCCCCCAGUAGCGGCGAGCGAACGGGGAGCAGCCCAGAGCCUGAAUCAGUGUGUGUGUUAGUGGAAGCGUCUGGAAAGGCGCGCGAUACAGGGUGACAGCCCCGUACACAAAAAUGCACAUGCUGUGAGCUCGAUGAGUAGGGCGGGACACGUGGUAUCCUGUCUGAAUAUGGGGGGACCAUCCUCCAAGGCUAAAUACUCCUGACUGACCGAUAGUGAACCAGUACCGUGAGGGAAAGGCGAAAAGAACCCCGGCGAGGGGAGUGAAAAAGAACCUGAAACCGUGUACGUACAAGCAGUGGGAGCACGCUUAGGCGUGUGACUGCGUACCUUUUGUAUAAUGGGUCAGCGACUUAUAUUCUGUAGCAAGGUUAACCGAAUAGGGGAGCCGAAGGGAAACCGAGUCUUAACUGGGCGUUAAGUUGCAGGGUAUAGACCCGAAACCCGGUGAUCUAGCCAUGGGCAGGUUGAAGGUUGGGUAACACUAACUGGAGGACCGAACCGACUAAUGUUGAAAAAUUAGCGGAUGACUUGUGGCUGGGGGUGAAAGGCCAAUCAAACCGGGAGAUAGCUGGUUCUCCCCGAAAGCUAUUUAGGUAGCGCCUCGUGAAUUCAUCUCCGGGGGUAGAGCACUGUUUCGGCAAGGGGGUCAUCCCGACUUACCAACCCGAUGCAAACUGCGAAUACCGGAGAAUGUUAUCACGGGAGACACACGGCGGGUGCUAACGUCCGUCGUGAAGAGGGAAACAACCCAGACCGCCAGCUAAGGUCCCAAAGUCAUGGUUAAGUGGGAAACGAUGUGGGAAGGCCCAGACAGCCAGGAUGUUGGCUUAGAAGCAGCCAUCAUUUAAAGAAAGCGUAAUAGCUCACUGGUCGAGUCGGCCUGCGCGGAAGAUGUAACGGGGCUAAACCAUGCACCGAAGCUGCGGCAGCGACGCUUAUGCGUUGUUGGGUAGGGGAGCGUUCUGUAAGCCUGUGAAGGUGUGCUGUGAGGCAUGCUGGAGGUAUCAGAAGUGCGAAUGCUGACAUAAGUAACGAUAAAGCGGGUGAAAAGCCCGCUCGCCGGAAGACCAAGGGUUCCUGUCCAACGUUAAUCGGGGCAGGGUGAGUCGACCCCUAAGGCGAGGCCGAAAGGCGUAGUCGAUGGGAAACAGGUUAAUAUUCCUGUACUUGGUGUUACUGCGAAGGGGGGACGGAGAAGGCUAUGUUGGCCGGGCGACGGUUGUCCCGGUUUAAGCGUGUAGGCUGGUUUUCCAGGCAAAUCCGGAAAAUCAAGGCUGAGGCGUGAUGACGAGGCACUACGGUGCUGAAGCAACAAAUGCCCUGCUUCCAGGAAAAGCCUCUAAGCAUCAGGUAACAUCAAAUCGUACCCCAAACCGACACAGGUGGUCAGGUAGAGAAUACCAAGGCGCUUGAGAGAACUCGGGUGAAGGAACUAGGCAAAAUGGUGCCGUAACUUCGGGAGAAGGCACGCUGAUAUGUAGGUGAGGUCCCUCGCGGAUGGAGCUGAAAUCAGUCGAAGAUACCAGCUGGCUGCAACUGUUUAUUAAAAACACAGCACUGUGCAAACACGAAAGUGGACGUAUACGGUGUGACGCCUGCCCGGUGCCGGAAGGUUAAUUGAUGGGGUUAGCCGCAAGGCGAAGCUCUUGAUCGAAGCCCCGGUAAACGGCGGCCGUAACUAUAACGGUCCUAAGGUAGCGAAAUUCCUUGUCGGGUAAGUUCCGACCUGCACGAAUGGCGUAAUGAUGGCCAGGCUGUCUCCACCCGAGACUCAGUGAAAUUGAACUCGCUGUGAAGAUGCAGUGUACCCGCGGCAAGACGGAAAGACCCCGUGAACCUUUACUAUAGCUUGACACUGAACAUUGAGCCUUGAUGUGUAGGAUAGGUGGGAGGCUUAGAAGUGUGGACGCCAGUCUGCAUGGAGCCGACCUUGAAAUACCACCCUUUAAUGUUUGAUGUUCUAACGUUGACCCGUAAUCCGGGUUGCGGACAGUGUCUGGUGGGUAGUUUGACUGGGGCGGUCUCCUCCUAAAGAGUAACGGAGGAGCACGAAGGUUGGCUAAUCCUGGUCGGACAUCAGGAGGUUAGUGCAAUGGCAUAAGCCAGCUUGACUGCGAGCGUGACGGCGCGAGCAGGUGCGAAAGCAGGUCAUAGUGAUCCGGUGGUUCUGAAUGGAAGGGCCAUCGCUCAACGGAUAAAAGGUACUCCGGGGAUAACAGGCUGAUACCGCCCAAGAGUUCAUAUCGACGGCGGUGUUUGGCACCUCGAUGUCGGCUCAUCACAUCCUGGGGCUGAAGUAGGUCCCAAGGGUAUGGCUGUUCGCCAUUUAAAGUGGUACGCGAGCUGGGUUUAGAACGUCGUGAGACAGUUCGGUCCCUAUCUGCCGUGGGCGCUGGAGAACUGAGGGGGGCUGCUCCUAGUACGAGAGGACCGGAGUGGACGCAUCACUGGUGUUCGGGUUGUCAUGCCAAUGGCACUGCCCGGUAGCUAAAUGCGGAAGAGAUAAGUGCUGAAAGCAUCUAAGCACGAAACUUGCCCCGAGAUGAGUUCUCCCUGACUCCUUGAGAGUCCUGAAGGAACGUUGAAGACGACGACGUUGAUAGGCCGGGUGUGUAAGCGCAGCGAUGCGUUGAGCUAACCGGUACUAAUGAACCGUGAGGCUUAACCUUACAACGCCGAAGCUGUU